UACGGGGGGAGCAAGCGUUGUUCGGAUUUACUGGGCGUAAAGGGCGCGUAGGCGGCCUGUGCAAGUCAGUUGUGAAAUCUCCGAGCUUAACUCGGAAAGGUCAACUGAUACUGUGCGGCUAGAGUGCGGAAGGGGCAACUGGAAUUCUUGGUGUAGCGGUGAAAUGCGUAGAUAUCAAGAGGAACACCUGCGGCGAAGGCGGGUUGCUGGGCCGACACUGACGCUGAUGCGCGAAAGCUAGGGGAGCGAACGGG
rnacentral:rRNA from 1 species